AGUGUACAGUGUAUAUAUCAACUAGUAUCAACUGCUAAAGGAUGUCAUGUAAUAUUUACUAAUACUAGUAAUGGAAGGAAGGAAUCAUUUAAUAUAACUGGAUCAAAUAAUACAAUAGUGUCUUUAGCCAGUGGAAACUAUACUGUAACUGUUUACGAUAUUGGUGAUGAUGGAGCAUUGUUUGGACCUGCUGUGCAAUACCCUGCACCAGUUGAAAUUUUUAAAAUUGCACCUUAUAUCUCUUCCUCUUCUAGUAAUCCACAUGAAAGCACUACUGAGUCUACGGUUAGUCCUACAAUCACUAAUACACCUGGAACUGAAACUGAAACUUCACCGACAAGUGGAACUAUUAAUGAUGCCAAUAAUGUUGUACCUAUUGUGGUUGGUAUACUCAGUGGUAUUGUACUAGUGAUCUUGAUCAUAUUAGUAGUAUGUGUUGGUAUCAUUGUUUAUAAGAGGAUGAAAGUACAAGU